GAUGAAGAACGUAGCUAAAUGCGAUACUUGGUGUGAAUUGCAGAAUCCCGUGAACCAUCGAGUCUUUGAACGCAAGUUGCGCCUCAAGCCAUUAGGUUGAGGGCACGUCUGCCUGGGCGUCACAUAUCGUUGCCUGAUGCCAGUUUCCUCGUGAUGGGUGACUGUGCAGGGCGAAUGAUGGCUUCCCGUGAGCAUUGUUGCCUCAUGGUUGGUUGAAAAUUGAGUCCUUGGUAGGGAGCGCCGUGAUAGAUGGUGGUUGAGUGACGAACGAGACCCAAUCAUGUGAGACCCCUACCGAAUUUGGCCUUCAUGACCCACAUGCGUCUUUGGAACGCUCAUGACGAGACCUCAGGUCAGGCGGGGCUACCCGCUGAGUUUAAGCAUAUCAAUAAGCGGAGGA
rnacentral:misc_RNA from 1 species